UAUAAUUUGGGGCCAUCCUCGAGCUACACCUGCUAUGGGUGUACCACGACUUAAGACUUACAAAUGAUAGUAGUAUCUCAAACAGCUGAGAUGAGUACCUCAAAACAAGAAGAAAUUAUUGUUAAUAUCUCCCCUAGCUACCCGUCUAAUUUCAAUUUUUAAGCACCCCUGUGCAUAUUUCUCUCCCAAAAAUACGUGAGGCUUUUGGUCCCAUACUCAACACUCAUCAUCUUAGCUGAAAAACCAAGACAAUUAUGAAGCAAACGGUGCUGAUCAAGGUGUCCAUGGAUGGCCACAACUGCCUUUGCUGUUGUAUGCUGGAUGGACGGAAAGUCCGGACCAAAGCCUUGAAGAUUGCAGUUGGCGUUUCAGUUACCCCUCAGCAUUAAACUUAUGUGUGGAUGAAGAGGCUAUAUAUGUGGUUUCAGACAUUUAGGGAGAUGAAUUGGAGCUUGCCUCAGCAGGAUGGAAUUCUUACAAACUAUGUGUCUAGUUCAACUCUGUUGUAAAUAUUUAGUUAGAGGCAAAUAUAUGAAAAAUACCAGUUUAUACUUGUAGGCUUCCCUAAUAUUGUACUUCCCACUUUGCAGAAAGAGAUUCUUGAUUUGUAUAUGAUUGACAGUGGGACAUAUUGGAAUGAAGUUAUUUAUUGGAGUUAUUGGAAUGUUGUUACAUCACA